rnacentral:rRNA from 1 species
UAAAACCAGCUCUUAGAGUGGUGGGCAUGAUUAUUUGGCUUAAAGUGUGCGUAGCAGGACAGCGUAAGUCCCCUGUGAAAUGCUAGGUCUUAAGCUUAGCGCGGGCAGGGGAUACUGUGCGUCUUGGGACCGGGAUAGGUACAAGGUAUGCAUUGGGUAGGGGUGAAAUCCGAUAAUCCAAUGCAGACCACCGGUGGCGAAGGCGUUGUACUGGAACGGGUCCGACUGUGAGGCACGAAAGGCUAGGGUCGCGAGCCGGAUUAGAUACCCGGGUAGUCCUAGCCGUAAACGAUGCUCACUAAGUGUUAGGUAAUGCAAGACGUUAUCUAGUGCCGAAGGGAAACCGUUAAGUGAGCCGCCUGGGAAGUACGUUCGCAAGAAUG